ACGCCGAGCCAUUCCCGWCGCGGGCUGACAGGGACGCGCAGCUCAGCGGCUUCUCCCCACAGCGAGACCCAGCCGGGGGCAGGCGGAGCGGCGGGAGCGCGUCCCCUCACGCCAGCGGACCCGAGCCCCGGCGGAGACGAGCCCGGGAGCUGGUGGGGAGAGAAGAAGCAUCACUCACUGUCUACACAGAGAAUGAUUUUGGGCCAGGAAGUGGAGAAGACCAAAGCAGGUAAAGGCUCACAGCUAUUUUAAGGCCUCCAUGGACUCUGAAGCAGUCCAUUCCAUUCAUACGGGCAAUUCCUUGAUUGCAUAUCACGACUGGUCUCCAUUCCAGCUGUUCCUGUGUCUAUGGAUAGAAAACAUGUCCCCGUUGGUCAUUUCCAAGGAUAAGCUGCAUCCUAGAAGCUGUAUGAAGAUGGAGUUGUACUCAGUUUCCGGAGCCACAUGCAAUUAGGGUGACUUGAAACUUGGCUAAUUACCUGGCAGACUUUGCUGCAGAAAGAUUCUUUAAUAAAAAUGGAUGGGGUGACAAGAGACAGGCUCCUUGCUAUUUUGGGACAAACUCUUCCCUCAGGCUGCAGAUAACCAUGGUGGUAAGGCUCCCCAUCUAUCAUUUGGUUUGCUGUUUCUUGGCUGUAGUAUUUAAUUAACAAUUCUGGAACUGCUCUGUUUCCCAGGAAUAGCCUGUAAAUCCAUGAAAUUAAACAAAAAGGGCAGAUGUGGACAAAAAUAAAAAGCCCAUGCAAGUCAGAAAUGAAAAAUUAAGUUGUUUUGUCAGUCUUCAGGGGCCAGUGCAGGAAUGUUAUAAAACCUUCUGAAGCUUUUCUGUCUGGUGGUUCAAGCAAGAGGGAAAUGUUCUUGUGGAUGCCAACAUUUUUAGAACUGAUGAUUGCUAAUUACAAAAGCACUAGUGACAGGCAGAAUGGUUUGAAACUGAGAGAGAGUAGGUUUAGAUUGAAUAUUAGGAAGAAAUACUUUGAGGGUGGUGAGGCACCAACACCACAGGUUGCCCAGAGCAGCUGUGGAUACCCCAUCCCUGAAAAUAUUUAAGGCCAGCCUGAAAAAGGCUCUCAGCAACCUGAUCUGGUGGAAGGUAUCUCUGCCAUGGAGUUGGAAUAAGAUGGUCUGUUAAGUAUCCUUCCAACCCAAACCACUCUAGGAUGAUCCUAUGAUUCUAUAAUUAUGUAAUUACUUUAUGGCAUGAAAAGAUACAAAUACUGUGAAAAUUGAGUUAAAACAAGGUUUUUUUUUCUCUUCAAGAUCUGAUUGAAGUUAAUAAUAAUGCUAAAACCUAUCUUGUGUAGAUGGCAAUCAACAGCAGAGGAAUUUCUAUAUAUCUGAAAGAGUGUGCUCAUCUAAACUGUCACUCAUGCUUUUAGGUGGCCAGUGAAACCAUUUUAUUACUGCAGUUAGCUGGAAAGGGCACUGUUCUGCAAAAAUCAGAUAAUGUACUUAUUUCUAAAAGCCUGGAACAAAAGAGCCAGUUGAGAUUUGCUGAGUAGUUGCAAGAUAGCCAUUAAAUAUAAAUAUUUUUAAAAACAAUGUACUCUUUCCUAAUGCUUUUAGAGCAGUGUGUGGGAACAGAGUCUAAGUGCAGCAUCUUACUGCAUUGAAAAGGACAUGAUGAAGGUUACUGGGUUCCAGAUUUAACUCUUCACUCUCUUAAUUGCUCACAACAGUUCCUAAACUAUGUGAGUUUGUAAAAAACUUACUCAUCUUUCCUAGUAGUGCCAAUAAAAGAUUAUUUUUAAAACAGCUAGUGCCAAUGAUGCACAUUUUUCACAUUUCUAUGUCAACAGUUUAAUAGUGAAUUAAAGUUUCCAUUCCCAAAAUUAAAACUUGCUGCAGAACUGGAAAUUUUGUUCUUUUCAACUUGUGGUGGAAAAGGGACUGGCUUUGUGGGGCCAUGUAUGUAUAAAUGAUACCUCCACAUCUGGAGUUUUAGCAGCCAUAGAUAGGAUUAAUUUGAUCUAAUUUAAGACAUCCAUGUCUGCAUCAAGCACUUUAGGCUGCUUCUGCUGUCAA